CUCAGAUGGCAAGCAGAGGUGAUUCCUGGGUCAAUGCUGCACAGCUUCAAUGCAUGAUUCAAUGCAUCUCUAUGUGGAGCUGCUGGCACAGCACUGCAUUUUGCUGCAGGUGCCCAAUAGAUGGGAAAGCAUUGGAUUGGCUGAGAUCAUCGAGUUACGACAUAAACAAUAAAGUGAGAGCAAAAACCAUAUCUAUACCAUACCUUUAGC